rnacentral:pre_miRNA from 1 species
AGAAUAUAAGAAUCCGUCUCUUAACUUUUAACUGAAAAAGCUAAGAACCGACUAUUAAAUAAGAGUUUUAAGAGACGGUUCUUAUCUUUUUAGUUAAAAAUUAAAAGACAGAUUUUUAUAUUUC